rnacentral:rRNA from 1 species
UACGAAGGGGGCUAGCGUUGCUCGGAAUCACUGGGCGUAAAGCGCACGUAGGCGGCUUUCUAAGUCGGGGGUGAAAUCCUGGAGCUCAACUCCAGAACUGCCUUUGAUACUGGAGAGCUUGAGUCCGGAAGAGGUGAGUGGAACUCCGAGUGUAGAGGUGAAAUUCGUAGAUAUUCGGAAGAACACCAGUGGCGAAGGCGGCUCACUGGUCCGGUACUGACGCUGAGACGCGAAAGCGUGGGGAGCGAACAGG